rnacentral:miRNA from 1 species
UGAAUUAUUUUAUAUAUAUAUAUAUGUGUGUGUGUGUGUGUAUAUAUAUAUAUACAUACACAUACACAGACACAUAUAGAGUAACUUCAAU